GAUGGGCAGUGCACACUUGAGGGCACGCAGCAAGUCGCUUACAUUAAAAGUCAGUCAUUGUCCACAGUUGGAAAAUCACACACGUGCUAUAAAUGCGAUCGUGAAAGAGACAUCAGCACUUUGGAGCAAAAAGGUGCUGAAUGUCAUUCUGAGAAACCCUUUCCUCCAAGUGGUUACAGCACUCAUCUGGAAGGCGGGAGACCUGGCACCCAAACUGGGCACCCAAACCCUCAGAACUGAAGAGCCAGUGGGACCCUGUCACACGUCAGCAGGUUCAGGAGCUCCCUCCUCGGCUGGUGAGGACAUCAGGGGCCGAUGGAGGAAAAGGGGAUGGGACAACCUGGAAGCAGCACCUGUGCCAGCAGGUGGGUAAUACAGAAAUUAGGUGUUUCUCAUCUUUUACCUUCAAAAAUUUAUUUUCUUGCUCAUAAUAUUUUGUGACUAAAACAAGAAAUUGCGAAAAGACUUCAAGUCUGUUAAGUAAGAGAAGGUAAAACAAAGCACGUAACUUUGGGUUGAAAGGAAUGUCUCCUAUUGACUGCAGUCUUUCAUGGUUUUGUGUUCUGUCAAAUCCUCCCUCAGUUUCUGUUUGGGUUGGAACUGAGCCUUUUCCUGCCCUGCUCCUUUCCCUGCGUGACAAAAUCUGAAUUCAGGCAGGUUGUUUAACAACUUGGCCAAGCCUAGAAGGCCAUCGCUGGCCCACGGUUGCCGGGAAGAGCAGGAGGUGCGUGUCAGAGCAAAGGGAUUCUUUCCAUCCACGUCACUGUCGUUACAUCACAUGAAGAAUCACCUCUCACUGGCAAAAGCCUCAGGCGCUGCCGAGGUGAGUCCUGGGGCUGCAGGGCUUGGAGCAGCCUGGGCUGGUGGGAGGUGUCCCUGCCCAGGGCAGGGGGUGGCACUGGAUGGGCGGUAAGGUCCCUUCCAACCCAACCCAUUCCAUGGUUCUAAUUUCAUAUGUGCUGGUACCACGAGUGGCAACACAUUUAUACACAUGGGUGUUGUACAUGGCAUUACUCUUAGCAUGAGGGAGGGGAACCAGGCCUGUUAUUUACAUGACACCCACAGACUGCAGGCCCCAUUCCUGCCUGUCUUAUUCCAAUUAAACUCCAAAACUCCAAGAUACAAGCAGGGUUUACCUAAAAUUAGAAUCAGCCCUUAUGUAAGAAUGUGAAAACCAUGCCCGAGUAAUGCAUUUCUGUUUUCAUGAUGUAAACUCUCAUCCCUCAAGCUGCUUGUGGGAAGUGGCAGCUUGUGCUCACACCUCUGCCCACCCAACGUGGCACACACGCUGCCUGCAGCUUGCAGGGCUCGGCUCUUUAAAUACGUUCAGAAAGUCUUAAAUGAUAUCAAAAUCGAGGUUUCUGAGAUUUACUUACGUGAAAUAAGUUCUUCCUUCAAAAUGUCAAGUUUGGCUUCUGUUCGGUCAAUCAAUUUGCUCUGUGUGAGCAAGGAUAACGUACAUAAAAUUUAUAAAUAAUUACGGUUUCAUACAGAAAUCAGGCAGCUCCUUUUCUCCUGCAGUAGAAACUUCACUCUAGCUCUGAUCUCGACUUGCCUGCGCCUGUCCCUCUCCUGCGGCUGCGGAUCCCUCAGCUCUCAGCUGUCUCUGCUCCGUCCCCUGGGGCCGUUCCGCCUUCAUUCCCUGGGCAGCCCUGCCCCUGGCUGCGGGCAGGGACCCAGCGCUGGGCGCAGGAGCUCCAUCCUCCCUGGGGGCAGCAGCUCACUGCUUUCUCUGGCUCUGCUCUCUCCUGUAACCCUAUAUAUAGGGUCCCUCCCCCCUCGGCGGCUCUGCUCGCCCAGUCUCCUCCAUUGUGUGUGUGCAGGUAUUUCACGGGAGACAUAAUUACUCUGGCUCCUACGGGCUGAGACGAGCAGGGACAGGAUUAAGUCCCUCCCGGGGCACAGCACCCCGAGUACCUUCCGAACAGCACGUGCGAGGAGGAGGAUAAUGACUGUAGGUGCUCGUUAGGUUAAUGGUGAAUAAAGCACAGGUGGUUUGCUGGGGAGCAAACAGAGCGCUCUGCUCAGUUCUGGGUGUGCUGGAGCAGGAAAUGGGAAAUAAACCGGAAUUAUUAUGGGAAGAUUCUCACGUGAGCAGAAUUUGGAAAGAAUGAGAGCGUGACGUUUAGUAGAAAGGAACCGGAGGGGCACAAAGCUAAAAUAAAGGAAUACAGAGAGAAAAUACAUCAGACAGCUGGUUUCUGAUUUUUCUCGCGUUCUGUGAGCCCAAGGGCACGGUGGACACACCAAAAGGCUGCAGCAGCCACAAAAUCCACAGUGAACAUGCGGAAUGUUCCUUCCAGGCAACAGGUAAAUGUAAAAUAAGAAACCCACAGCUGCCCUGGGUAAUGUGGGAUUGCUUUCCUUGCUCACCUUUGGUGGCCAUGACCAAGGGAGCUGUUUCCCUGCAGCACCGAGGGCUGGUGCCACCGCAGGGUUCUCCGUGCCAUCCCCUGGAGCGCGUUGAGGGCGCGUUGAGGGCCGACCCACGGGGCUGUUAGGAAGGAGUGUGAUUUAGUUGGGCAAUUGGUCCGUGCCCCAGCCUGCCCCGCCAGCAGGAGAAGCCAGAGGGACUGGCUGACCUCUCCGAGCAGGACUUGG